AGAACGAACGCUGGCGGCAUGCCUAACACAUGCAAGUCGAACGCCCCGCAAGGGGAGUGGCGGACGGGUGAGUAACACGUGGGAACCUGCCCAAUGGUCUGGAAUAACCGCGGGAAACUGCGGCUAAUACCGGAUAAGCCCGAAAGGGGAAAGAUUUAUCGCCGAAAGAUCGGCCCGCGUCUGAUUAGCUAGUUGGUGAGGUAAUGGCUCACCAAGGCGACGAUCAGUAGCUGGUCUGAGAGGAUGAUCAGCCACAUUGGGACUGAGACACGGCCCAAACUCCUACGGGAGGCAGCAGUGGGGAAUAUUGGACAAUGGGCGCAAGCCUGAUCCAGCCAUGCCGCGUGAGUGAUGAAGGCCCUAGGGUUGUAAAGCUCUUUUGUGCGGGAAGAUAAUGACGGUACCGCAAGAAUAAGCCCGGCUAACUUCGCGCCAGCAGCCGC
rnacentral:rRNA from 1 species